UAUUUGCGAGCUGUGGCAUUGAGGUUCCAAGGUAUGUUCCAAGACUGUAAUCUACUGGAUGAUGAAGUCAGUGGUGUCAGUGGUUUCAGCGGCAGCAUAAUAGACUGUGGUCCAGAGACUCCUGACACUAUUCCUUAUAAUGCCUCCAGCUGCAUCUGUGAAAAAGGAUAUAGGAUGGUGACCUUUGUGGGAAUCAAUGAGUGUAUUUGUGAAAAAAUUCCCCACCACUGCCAACCAGAUAUAGUGAGAGAAAAUGACAAUGUAAUGAAGUGUUUA